rnacentral:miRNA from 1 species
AGCCAAACAGAAGCUCAUUC